CAAGGCUGUUUUUCACUAUUUGCCGGAGUUAUAUGAACAGGUGGCUUUGCACCUCCUAUGCUAGUGUAAGGCUUCUGUCUGCUUUGAGGCCACUCUGGAAGGCAGGUGUUUAAGGGAGAAAUGGUCCUUUCUUGCUAAACUACUCACACCUGUUCCGCUACCCACCUGUGUGGAACUAAAAUGCCAUUCCAGAGGGGUCUCCCCUAAGUGGACGCACGCUCAGCAAGGCAGAGGCCCUGUGGCUGGAGAGGAGGAAAAGAAAGAAUGAAAGGCACAUGCAAUAGGCAAGACCCGCUUGGAUAUAGCUUAAAGGGACCUGUUCCUGCCCUCAAAAUGCCUGUGACGAUGAUGCCCAAGGGUUCUCACCUGCCCGCCUCUCCUCACACCCACGCAAUUACAGGACCACCACAGCAUAAGCAGACUGAGGUGAGAAGCCAUGUGGAGAGAGAGACCAGGCCAUCCCAGCUCUUCCAGCCAACCCAGCCCAGGCCUCAAAUGGAAGCGAGUCCUGUCCUGGACACCCAGGUCCUGCUGGGCCCCAAGCUGGCGGCAGGUGG
rnacentral:lncRNA from 1 species